rnacentral:rRNA from 1 species
AUGUGCAUUCCAAAGGAGAAAGGGGGCUUGGGGUUUAGAGACCUUCACAAUUUUAACCUUGCUAUGUUAGCAAAACAGUGUUAGCGACUAAUCUAGAACCUAAAUUCUUUAUGUGCGCGUGUCCUUAGUGCUAAAUACUAGCAUGAUGGUAAUAUCUUAGGGGCUAGCUCGAAGAAGGGAUCGUCAUACACCUGGCAGCGUAUUGUUGCAGGACAAACUUUUAACAUGGGUCAUAUAUGGAGUGUUGGUCCGGUGGCACAUAUAAAUGUUUAGCAGGAGCCAUGGAUUCCAUCCACCCCGUCAUAGAAAGUCAUUACUCCUAGAGGUGCAACAAUGCCUACAUUUGCGGAGGAACUCAUUAAUCCACAUACAGGUCAGUGGAAUAAAGGUUUGAUAAGGGAUUUUUUCUCGCUAGUAGAUGCCUAUAAAUUACUACAAAUCCCUCUCAAUGUUCAUAUGGUGGAGGACUUUGUGGCAUGGAAUUAUACGAGGUCUGGGACAUUUUUUGUUCGGUCCGCAUAUCAUCGAGAUUUUAAGCAUCAACAUGGCCAUCGUCUAGCUUGUUCUAAUGGACAAGGUAACAUGCAUAUAAAUAAUAUUUGGAAGGAAGUAUGUAACCUCAAGAUCCCGAGAAAAAUUAAACACUUUGCAUGCAAAGUUUUAAAUGCCUCACUCCCUUGCUUUGGUACUCUAUCAGAUAGACAUAUUCCACUAAUUCCCUAAUUUCUGAUCUGUUGUGUUGGACUUGAGGAUAUCCAACACACUUUAUUUAGCUGUCAUUGAGACAUGGAUGUGUGGACAGAGAUGGGACUACAUAAAUCAUAA